rnacentral:rRNA from 1 species
GUCUACGGCCAUGCCACCCAGAUCUUGUCUGAACUCGGAAGCUAAGCAGUGUUGGGCCUGGUUACUACUUGGAUGGGAGACUGCCAGGGAAUACCGGGUGCUGUAGGGU